rnacentral:lncRNA from 1 species
AGCACCUUUCAGCAGCAGGUUUUCAGGACCCAAAGACCUGGCUACAGGCUCUUGGUUGCUUCUGUGCAUGAUGAUCCUUCCAACAAACUUGUAGAGGUCUGGCUGUGGCUGCUCGCAUUCGAUUGUGGCCGUGAGGGAGUCUAUGGCUUCAUCCGUGCAGAGCACGGUGGUGUCCCGCACUGCGUAGUGAGUCUUGAAAUUCGACUCGCCAUCCAGACUUGCUGUAGUGACGUAACAGGUCCCGUCAGUGCUACUUGAGGCCAAAAAUAUCAAGUCACAGGGGAAGGUCUCAUCUGCUUUCACUUCUACUAUGUCUCCAACCUUGAUUUUCUCACUCUCUUUCUGCACUUGCUUCGCAUUUUCAAUAAUGAAGACAUUACUCUUGUUCACUUCGUUGUCAGCUCUGUGUCUCAACCAGUCCUCGUACCCCUGUUUGAUGGCUGUGACGGUGAUCACGAAGAAGAGCGGAAGGCCGCUGGUUACCGGGCUGGUCGGGGUGUCCACUAUCACCUGCACGAGGAAGAUGAUGAGGAAGUAGAAGUUGGCAAUUCUCCUAAACUGCUCAAAGAGGUUCUUCGGGAGGAAGUUCCACACUGUGUACUUGGAGGAGACAAUCCUGUUGUCACAGAACUUCUGUGCCACGUAGGCAUCUGCCUCCGAAACCGGCCGGUGCCCAACCACCACAGUUCGUGUGCCGACCCGCUUCUCCUCCCCGGCACACAGGCGGCUCAGGCUGCGGCGGAGCAUCGCGGCAGCGCCCGGCCCCGCCGCCCUCACCGCCGCAUCGCCCGCCUCGCCGCGGCCCCCAGGCUGUCCCGCCGGCCGCGCACCAUGCCCGCCGCGGGGCGCCGCCGGCCGGCCGGCUCUCGGGGCACGGCUCCCGGCGCUGCGGGCCGCUCGCCUCGGCGCGGCUCGGUUGGCGGGCACUUCCCCCGCGCCUCCGCUCCGCGCGUUUGCCCGAGAGGCGGGCCCGCCGCGCCCGGGGCAGCCUGGGAGCUGUAGUAGUGCGGGGCCCGCGGCGCGGCCUGGGGAGGGAACCCCCCGGCCUACCCUCGUUCGGUCCUAACGCCGGUUCGUAGCCCGGCGCCCGGCACUACACGAGCCCGGGCGCUCGGACCGGAGCGCUUCCCCAACUCACGACCGGGAACGGCGGUGAGGGACCCUCGGUGUUCCUCACGGGACCCCGCGAGCAGGCGGUGCCGCCCGGCCCCAGCGCUGCGCAGUGCGGUGGCCGUGCCGCCCCCGGGGCCGAAGCGUUUCUCCACAGGCAGAGCGCAGCCCGGCGCGUUGCCCCUACGAGCGUCCCCAGACCGAGAAAACACGCCGCUUUUUCACCGAGCGUUUUAAAAGCAACAACACCACCCUGCUGGUUUGACUCGAGCUACAAAGCAGUCCCGUUUUCAC